UACGUAGGUGGCAAGCGUUGUCCGGAUUUACUGGGCGUAAAGAGCGCGCAGGCGGUCGUUCAAGUCGCGUGUGAAAGCCCCCGGCUCAACUGGGGAGGGUCACGCGAUACUGAUCGACUCGAAGGCAGGAGAGGGUAGUGGAAUUCCCGGUGUAGUGGUGAAAUGCGUAGAUAUCGGGAGGAACACCAGUGGCGAAGGCGACUACCUGGCCUGUUCUUGACGCUGAGGCGCGAAAGCUAGGGAGCAACGGGGAUUAAGAAACCCCGGUGA
rnacentral:rRNA from 1 species